GGAGAGAUGCCAGAGUGGUUGAAUGGGACGGUCUCGAAAACCGUUUUACGGGCAACUGUAACGAGGGUUCGAAUCCCCCUCUCUCCG
rnacentral:tRNA from 1 species